UGGGGCCAGACCGGGAGGCGGAGGAGGUGGGGUGUCGGUUGUCAUGGCGACCUUCGGGAGCAGCUGGACUGUGGACGAGAACAGCAAGAAGACAUCUGUAGUUGGUUUGGCGAUAAAAAACACCAGAGACCAUAGAAUACGGUACCCAGUCUAUAGAACAUGGACCAUUAGGUAGAUCAAACCUUGACCUUUUGCACAUUUGUACGUACGCUGUGUUCGCAUCUGCUGGUUGUCCUUCUCCAUGCGUUCCAGACGUCCCUCUACGUCUUUUUUCUCCUCCUCCAGAAGCUCCACUUGUCGACGUAGACGCUCUAGAUUCUUUUUUGCUAAACUGUCAUCCAGCUCAGCCUGGAGCUCGCACACCUGGUUUAGACACAUAGAUAUGUCCAUAGGAUUAGUCGCCAGUCAAUCACAUUUAGAGUUGUCAAUUUUUGGAAAGAAGUCAUCAAGAAGAUGGAAUUCGAAGCGUUACCCGUUUCUGAUGCUGCAGUCGCUCACCCUCCAGCGUUUUGGUGAGGACGGCGACCUCCUCCAAGGCGCUGAGCAGCUGCAAACUGGGCUCGGCAUUCUGCAGCAGAAGCGCGCUCUGACGAUUGGCCUCCUUCUGCUUCACCAGCAUCUGCCACACAUACCCGAUGCCUUAAGCUGUCAAAAAUGUACUUUUUUUUCCCCUUUUUUUGUGUUCUUUGGUGCUGUCAGACCUCGUGGGCGUACGUCUCAGCUUUGAUUCGAAGGCUCUGCUCCAGGUCCAGCUGCUCCUUCAUGCCCUCGUACUCCUGCGUCGCCAUCAUGGACACUGGCGCGCAGAUUGAGACGCGUUUCGAAGUUUCUCCAUUUCUCUCUCAUCUCGUUCGGCCUGGAAUCAGCGUCAACGGUGUCAACAUGGGAACAAACGACAUGAUGACAAUGCUAAUGAAAAAGGGUAACCUUUUCGCUCAGCUCCUCGAUUCUUCUCUGCUGGUCAUGAAUCUGACACAGGAAGCUCUUCUUUUCUUCCAACAAGUUUACCUUUGACCUGCUGCUGGCACUGCGCAAAGGCAUCGGGCGAGGCGUCUUCCGGGGCCGCCACCGUUUCCAUGGCGACACAGUCCGAGAUGCUGGGAAGCAGCUCGUCCAAGCACGAUGGCCGUGAUGACAAGCUCAGGUAUUUCAACUUCCGGUUUUCGCUGUUCAGCUGCCAGGGAGCGGAGCAUCACAGGUUUCAAUCAAAAGCACUCAUGGAGUUCAGGGUUUCUCCUACAUAUAAAACAUUGUGGCGCACCGCCACACCAAAAUAAAACCCGCCACGCCUUGCAAAAGAGAUGUGGUUUUUUUUCUGUUUUUUUUUUUUUUAAGGCCGUUUCAAACUAGCAGCAGCCUAGUGUGAAGGGUUCGGCGGCAACCUAUUCAUUAUGUAUCAUAAUGUCCGUAACUAAGCGCGGCCCCCUUAAGAGACGAGCUGUGACGUAGAAGGAAGCCAAAAGGAGAACAGGCAAGAAAAUGAGAGAUAUCUUGUCGCGGCAGCCCGCUGUUAUGUUGUUAUUGUUUUUCUUUAUUAUUAGAGAUACUGGUCACGUCAUUUUCAAAGUAUCAGAAUCGGCAAAAAAAUAUCGGACAUGCCUUUUUUAAUAUAUAUACAUAUACGUAUAUAUUUUUUUAAUUAAAUUGUUUUCUAAUUGUAUUUAACGUUACAGACAAAAUGUCUUACACUCAACCAGAGUCUUUAGUUUUGGCUUAAAGUAGGGCUAUCAAAUUUAUCGCGUUAACGGCGGUAAUAACAUUAAAAUAUUUAACGCAAUUAACGCAUGCGCUGCGCUACCCACUCACGCAUUGUCGCGUUCAAUCUAUAAUGGCACCGUUUUACGUAUACAUAGAGCUAAAAGGCAACGUAAAAUGAGUAGAGAGAAUUUUGGCAGCCUUUGAAGCCUUUUUUUAAUUGGCUAAAGCCUUACAAUCCCUCUCACAACAAUUAGAAAUAUCGUGGGAAGCAAUGUGGGGAAGAAAGGUAGUAGUUGAUCUUUUUCUUAACACUCUAUGUUAUUUCCCAACCCAGAGAAGAUAUAUCAAUUGAUACCACUACGCACAGUCAUGGUUGCACUUCCCAUCAUGCAUUUGGGCACAAGUUAUAUGGCUACAGUAUCAUUUACUGAAAGCUCAACAAAUACACUAGAUGGCAAUAUUUAGUCACAAUAUACAAAGUCACAUAUAUCCUUUAAGAAUUACAAGUCUUUCUAUCCGUGGAUCCCUCUCACAGAAAGAAUGUUAAUAAUGUAAAUGCCAUCUUGAGGAUUUAUUGUCAUAAUAAACAAAUACAGUAUGUAUGUUGAAUGUAUAUAUUAGUCUGAAUUUUAUUCAAUUUUUUUCUUAAUGCAUUGCCAAAAUGUAUAUGAUCGGGAAAAAUUAUCGGAAAUGAUUGGAAUUGAAUCGGGAGCAAAAAAAAAAAAAAGCAAUCGGAUCGGGAAAUAUCGGGAUCGGCAGAUACUCAAACUAAAACGAUCGGGAUCGGAUCGGGAGCAAAAAAACAUGAUCGGAACAACCCUAUUUAUUAUUGUUGCCACGAGAAAGUGGGUAAGCUAAUACCGACUCGUCGCCUUCUUCCCCCCAUCCGGGGCAUUACAGUAUUUUGGAUCGGACUUUUUGGCAAAAAGUGAGCGAUGGACGGCCGUCUUGGACGAAACGGCAAGUUUGAAUUAAUUUGUGCUGAGAGGCGGGGCCUAAACGUCAACAACGCAUUAUAUAGCAGAGGGGCAGGCGUACUUAAAUCUGUUUUAUUAUACAAUGCAAAUAAGGUUGCUUAAAAGUUGGUGGGGAUAGUUUGAGCAUCCUGAAAAGUUGCUAGUGUUAUGUCCCUAAUGUCCCUAUGCAAACCUACGUCAUUGGUCCAUUAACAGAAGGGUUAUUAUUGUUGUGGUAAUGUAGUACAUAUUUGGGCCAAAUAAAAGGAAAAUGACUACGAGAUGUAAGUUGUACUAUUGCUAAGAGAAAAUAAGUCAGAUUAUUACGUAGGGUAAUGUACCUGUAAUCACCCACGCAUUUUACAUAUAUGUACCGUAGCUGAGAGCUACGAAAUUAGCCUGGCUAAUGAAAUAGUUCAAAUAGAUCUUUGUUAUGGUUCUUCUUGGGAAAAUAAACAUGAAAAAAAAAUCUCAUUAGUCAUGCUAUGACGCAAUUUUGCCGUGGCGCGAUAUGGUGACGCUGUCUGACUUCGAUGCAGCCCAACACCACAUCUUCAAAAAAUCCUUGCGAAACCCUGGACUUAGUCCAAUAAGAUUCUCCAUCUCUCCCUGGAUUUCUAAGUCUCCCUUUUGCUUUUUUUUUUAAUUUUUUUUUUUGCUGAUGCGACAAAAGAUGUCAUCAGCGUCGUGCCGAGUCAUGCUGAACGUGCAAACUUGCAGGCCGACCUU